rnacentral:rRNA from 1 species
CCGGAAACGGGCGCUAAUACCGCAUACGUCCUGAGGGAGAAAGUGGGGGAUCUUCGGACCUCACGCUAUCAGAUGAGCCUAGGUCGGAUUAGCUAGUUGGUGGGGUAAAGGCCUACCAAGGCGACGAUCCGUAACUGGUCUGAGAGGAUGAUCAGUCACACUGGAACUGAGACACGGUCCAGACUCCUACGGGAGGCAGCAGUGGGGAAUAUUGGACAAUGGGCGAAAGCCUGAUCCAGCCAUGCCGCGUGUGUGAAGAAGGUCUUCGGAUUGUAAAGCACUUUAAGUUGGGAGGAAGGGCAGUAAGUUAAUACCUUGCUGUUUUGACGUUACCAACAGAAUAAGCACCGGCUAACUUCGUGCCAGCAGCCGCGGUAAUACGAAGGGUGCAAGCGUUAAUCGGAAUUACUGGGCGUAAAGCGCGCGUAGGUGGUUCAGCAAGUUGGAUGUGAAAUCCCCGGGCUCAACCUGGGAACUGCAUCCAAAACUACUGAGCUAGAGUACGGUAGAGGGUGGUGGAAUUUCCUGUGUAGCGGUGAAAUGCGUAGAUAUAGGAAGGAACACCAGUGGCGAAGGCGAC